UACGUAGGGUCCGAGCGUUUAAUCGGAAUCACUGGGCGUAAAGCGCACGUAGGCGGAUUCUUAAGUCAGGGGUGAAAUCCUGGAGCUCAACUCCAGAACUGCCUUUGAUACUGAGGGUCUUGAGUUCGGGAGAGGUGAGUGGAACUGCGAGUGUAGAGGUGAAAUUCGUAGAUAUUCGCAAGAACACCAGUGGCGAAGGCGGCUCACUGGCCCGAUACUGACGCUGAGGUGCGAAAGCGUGGGGAGCAAACAGGG
rnacentral:rRNA from 1 species